rnacentral:rRNA from 1 species
CAAUAGCGUAUAUUAAAGUUGUUGCAGUUAAAAAGCUCGUAGUUGAAGAUACGAACGCUUACACUAGAACAAAGUUUCCGGUGUCUGCGUUCACUUUUCGCAAAGACAGCCUGGCCCAUUAGUUUGGGUCUUGUUUGAGUUGCGUCAUUUACUGUGAACAAAUUAGGGUGUUUAAAGCAGGCCUACGUUUGAAUACACUAGCAUGGAAUAAUAAGAUAUGAUCUUGGUCGUAUUUUGUUGGUGACUACCAAGAUAAUGAUUGAUAGAAACUGUUGUGGGUAUUCGUAUGAGCAUGUCAGAGGUGAAAUUCUUGGAUUUUGAUCAGACGAACUACUGCGAAAGCAUUUACCAAGGAUGUUUNCAUUAA